rnacentral:rRNA from 1 species
UGGGGAAUAUUGCACAAUGGGCGCAAGCCUGAUGCAGCCAUGCCGCGUGUAUGAAGAAGGCCUUCGGGUUGUAAAGUACUUUCAGCGGGGAGGAAGGCGAUAAGGUUAAUAACCUUGUCGAUUGACGUUACCCGCAGAAGAAGCACCGGCUAACUCCGUGCCAGCAGCCGCGGUAAUACGGAGGGUGCAAGCGUUAAUCGGAAUUACUGGGCGUAAAGCGCACGCAGGCUGUGUGUCAAGUCGGAUGUGAAAUCCCCGGGCUCAACCUGGGAACUGCAUUCGAAACUGGCAGGCUAGAGUCUUGUAGAGGGGGGUAGAAUUCCAGGUGUAGCGGUGAAAUGCGUAGAGAUCUGGAGGAAUACCGGUGGCGAAGGCGGCCCCCUGGACAAAGACUGACGCUCAGGUGCGAAAGCGUGGGGAGCAAACA